CAAUAGCGUAUAUUUAAGUUGCUGCAGUUAAAAAGCUCGUAGUUGGAUUUCGGGUGGGAAUGGCCGGUCCGCCGUUUCGGUGUGCACUUGCUACGCCUACCUUGCUGCCGGGGACGUGCUCUUGAGUUCACGCUCGGGACACGGAGUCGGCGAGGUUACUUUGAGUAAAUUAGAGUGUUCAAAGCAGGCCUACGCUCUGAAUACAUUAGCAUGGAAUAACACGAUAGGACUCUGGCCUAUCUUGUUGGUCUGUAGGACCGGAGUAAUGAUUAAGAGGGACAGUCGGGGGCAUUCGUAUUUCAUUGUCAGAGGUGAAAUUCUUGGAUUUAUGAAAGACGAACUACUGCGAAAGCAUUUGCCAAGGAUGUUUUCAUUAA
rnacentral:rRNA from 1 species